rnacentral:rRNA from 1 species
GGAGGGAUCAUUACACAAAUAUGAAGGCGGGCUGGAACCUCUCGGGGUUACAGCCUUGCUGAAUUAUUCACCCUUGUCUUUUGCGUACUUCUUGUUUCCUUGGUGGGUUCGCCCACCACUAGGACAAACAUAAACCUUUUGUAAUUGCAAUCAGCGUCAGUAACAAAUUAAUAAUUACAACUUUCAACAACGGAUCUCUUGGUUCUGGCAUCGAUGAAGAACGCAGCGAAAUGCGAUAAGUAGUGUGAAUUGCAGAAUUCAGUGAAUCAUCGAAUCUUUGAACGCACAUUGCGCCCUUUGGUAUUCCAAAGGGCAUGCCUGUUCGAGCGUCAUUUGUACCCUCAAGCUUUGCUUGGUGUUGGGCGUCUUGUCUCUAGCUUUGCUGGAGACUCGCCUUAAAGUAAUUGGCAGCCGGCCUACUGGUUUCGGAGCGCAGCACAAGUCGCACUCUCUAUCAGCAAAGGUCUAGCAUCCAUUAAGCCUUUUUUCAACUUUUGACCUCGGAUCAGGUAGGGAUACCCGCUGAA